rnacentral:rRNA from 1 species
UCAAGUGACUAAGUGCAUGUGGCGGAUGCCUUGGCGAUCACAGGCGAAGAAAGACGCGGCAGCCUGCGAAAAGCUGCGGGGAGCUGGCAAACGAGCUUUGAUCCGCAGAUAUCUGAAUGGGGGAACCCACACCGCAAGGUGUAUCCGUAGCUGAAUACAUAGGUUACGGAGGCGAACGAGGAGAACUGAAACAUCUAAGUAUCCUCAGGAAAAGAAAUCAACCGAGAUUCCGGCAGUAGCGGCGAGCGAACCCGGAGGAGCCCAGCUUUUGAUAGUACGAACUUUAGCCGAAAGGUCCUGGAAAGGCCUGCUAUAGUGGGUGAUAGCCCCGUAGGCGAAAGAGUUGGUACGGUACUAAGGAAGCGAGAAGUAGAGCGGGACACGUGGAAUCCUGUUCGAAGACGGGGGGACCAUCCUCCAAGGCUAAAUACUCGUGAUCGACCGAUAGUGAACCAGUACCGUGAGGGAAAGGCGAAAAGAACCCCGGGAGGGGAGUGAAAUAGAACCUGAAACCGCAUGCAUACAAACAGUAGGAGCCUCGUCAGAGGUGACUGCGUACCUUUUGCAUAAUGGGUCAGCGACUUACAUUCUGUGGCGAGCUUAACCGAAUAGGGGAGGCGCAGCGAAAGCGAGUUCGAAAUGAGCGUUCAGUCGCAGGGUGUAGACCCGAAACCAGAUGAGCUAUCCAUGGCCAGGUUGAAGGUGUGGUAACACACACUGGAGGACCGAACCGACUAGUGUUGCAAAAUUAGCGGAUGAGCUGUGGAUAGGGGUGAAAGGCCAAACAAAUCUGGAGAUAGCUGGUUCUCCCCGAAAACUAUUGAGGUAGUGCCUCGUGUGUCGCUCCAGGGGGUAGAGCACUGUUUUGGCUAGGGGGACAUGGAGUCUUACCAAACCAAGGCAAACUCCGAAUACCUGGAAGCGUAAGCACGGGAGACAGAGCACCGGGUGCUAACGUCCGGACUCAAAAGGGAAACAACCCAGACCGCCGGCUAAGGUCCCAAAUAACAGCUAAGUGGAAAACGAAGUGGAAAGGCCGUGACAACCAGGAAGUUGGCUUAGAAGCAGCCAUCCUUCAAAGAAAGCGUAAUAGCUCACUGGUCGAGUCCUUCUGCGCGGAAGAUGUAACGGGGCUAAGCUGUUAACCGAAGCCGCGGAUGCACUGGUUAUCCAGUGCGUGGUAGGGGAGCGUUCUGUAAGUCUGCGAAGGCGGUUCGAGAGGACUGCUGGAGAUAUCAGAAGUGCGAAUGCUGACAUGAGUAACGUUAAAGCAGGUGAAAAGCCUGCUCGCCGUAAGCCCAAGGAUUCCUGCUCUACGUUCAUCGGAGCAGGGUGAGUCGGCUCCUAAGGUCAGGCCGAAAGGCGUAGCCGAUGGGAAUCAGGUUAAUAUUCCUGAACCUGCGUCAGAUGCGAUGGGGGGACGGAGCAUGGAAGAUCAUCCGGGUGUUGGAAGUCCCGGUUGUUGAGCGUAGGAGGUCUGCAGGCAAAUCCGCAGACGCAUCUCCAAGGCAAAGACACGUGCCGCCACGGCGGCGAAGUGAUCGGAAGUGCUUCCAAGAAAAGCCUCUAAGCACCAGUCUGAUGCGGACCGUACCGCAAACCGACACUGGUGGGCGAGCUGAAUAUGCUCAGGCGCUUGAGAGAACUCGGGAGAAGGAACUCGGCAAAUUGACACCGUAACUUCGGAAGAAGGUGUGCCGUAGUACCGUGAGAGGAGAGACACCUUGAGCGGGAAACGGUCUCAGAGAAUAGGUGGCUGCGACUGUUUAUUAAAAACACAGCACUCUGCAAAGUCGAAAGACGACGUAUAGGGUGUGAUGCCUGCCCGGUGCUGGAAGAUUAAUUGAUGGGGUGAGAGCCCUUGAUCGAAGUCCCAGUAAACGGCGGCCGUAACUAUAACGGUCCUAAGGUAGCGAAAUUCCUUGUC